GAGAAGGUCAAAAAUUUUGGACAUGGACAAGGUAUUAGUGAAAAACUAGCAGAAAUCAAGGCCAGAUUGAAGGCUGCGACAGACCCAACAGUGAUCAGGGCUGAGGUGUGU
rnacentral:ribozyme from 1 species